GGGUCGGUAGCAAAGUGGUUAAACGCAGUGGACUGUAAAUCCACCCCGAAAGGUUCGAUGGUUCGAAUCCAUCCCGGCCCA
rnacentral:tRNA from 3 species